CACGUAGGGUGCGAGCGUUGUCCGGAAUUAUUGGGCGUAAAGAGCUCGUAGGCGGUGUGUCGCGUCGGCCGUGAAAACCUGCAGCUUAACUGUGGGCGUGCGGUCGAUACGGGCAUCACUGGAGUUCGGCAGGGGAGACUGGAAUUCCUGGUGUAGCGGUGAAAUGCGCAGAUAUCAGGAGGAACACCGGUGGCGAAGGCGGGUCUCUGGACGGUCACUGACGCUGAGACGCGAAAGCGUGGGGAGCAAACAGG
rnacentral:rRNA from 1 species